rnacentral:tRNA from 1 species
UUUUUUAUAGUUUAAAAUAAAACAUUGGUCUUGUAAAUCAAAAAUAUUAUAAUUAUUUAAAAAC